CACUUAACCUCUGUUUGCUUUAAUCCACCGGAAAAGGAAAUGGCCAACCCCAACAGCAUUUUCGCCAGGAAAAUUCCUUGGAGAUAAUAUGGUCCUCCGGGUCAUGAAGAAUCAGAUGCGACUGAGCAACACCAACACAUUUGCACUGCUCUUUUGCAUAACUAACAUUUGAUGACCAGACUCAAAGUCCACCUUAAAGAGAGAAGAGCAAGAUUCCAGGGAUAACUGUUACACCUGACUUCAAGCUUAUGUAAAUGGCCUAACUGGGGCAGCACAUAUACCCUACAGAGAGAAACAAAUUCAAGGUUUCAUGGAAAUAUGCUGUAGAUCAUCUGGACUAUAGGAAGAAGCUAAGGAAGAGUUUGGAAAACAAAACACAAAUUGGCACAGAGGCAUGUGGUAGUGAAGAAUUCAACUACCUGGACAUCUGCAGUUUUCUUUCUGCCAGAAGCAGUGAAUCUGGUAAAUUCUUAUUUUGAAUGAAUGACAAUUUCAUUUCUGAAGAGGCAGAGGAAGAGAUCAAAGGAACUGCUAUUUGGGAGUUGAUUCUGACUAGCAAGGAGACGCUUUUCUAAAUGGUUUGUCUUUGAAUCACCUGCAUCUAGCACAGGGUUAGGCAUUUAAUGAAAUCUUAUUGGUUGAUUAACUAUGAUAAUAUGGGCAUUGGGGGAGUAAACCACUCCUAAGUCAGCAUUUGUGAUAAAGAAAAGGAAAG
rnacentral:lncRNA from 1 species